CGGGGUGCACCAGGCGCGAAACCUCUGCAAUAGGCGAAAGCUUGACAGGGUUACUCUGAGUGAUGUCCGCUAAGGGCAUCUUUUGGCACUUCUAAAAAUAGUGUAGAAUAAGGGGUGGGCAAGUCUGGUGUCAGCCGCCGCGGUAAUACCAGCACCCCGAGUGGUCGGGACGAUUAUUGGGCCUAAAGCAUCCGUAGCCGGUUCUGCAAGUCUUCCGUUAAAUCCACCUGCUCAACAGAUGGGCUGCGGAGGAUACUACAGGGCUAGGAGGCGGGAGAGGCAAGCGGUACUCAGUGGGUAGGGGUAAAAUCCUCUGAUCCACUGAAGACCACCAGUGGCGAAGGCGGCUUGCCAGAACGCGCUCGACGGUGAGGGAUGAAAGCUGGGGGAGCAAACCGGAUUAGAUACCCGGGUAGUCCCAGCUGUAAACGAUGCAGACUCGGUGAUGGGUUGGCUUCGAGUCAACCCAGUGCCGCAGGGAAGCCGUUAAGUCUGCCGCCUGGGGAGUACGGUCGCAAGACUGAAACUUAAAGGAAUUGGCGGGG
rnacentral:rRNA from 1 species